CCUACGGGUGGCAGCAGUGAGGAAUAUUGGUCAAUGGCCGGAAGUCUGAACCAGCCAUGCCGCGUGAAGGUCAGUGCCCUAUUGGCGUUAAACUUCUUUUGUUCGGGAGCAAUAAUGGUCACGUGUGGCCAGACUAGAGUACCGUACCAAUAAGCAUCGGCUAACUCCGUGCCAGCAGCCGCGGUAAUACGGAGGAUCCGAGCGUUAUCCGGAUUUAUUGGGUUUAAAGGGGGCGUAGGUGGGUUGUUAAGUCAGUUGUGAAAGUUUGCGGCUCAACCGUAAAAUUGCAGUUGAAACUGGCAGGCUUGAGUACAGUAGAGGUAGGCGGAAUGCGUGGUGUAGCGGUGAAAUGCUUAGAUAUCACGAAGAACUCCGAUUGCGAAGGCAGUUCACUGGACUGCAACUGACACUGAGGCUCGAAAGUGUGGGUAUCAAACAGGAUUAGAUACCCGGGUAGUC
rnacentral:rRNA from 1 species